CGGCUGCGCGCGGCCGCCGCGGAGUCUCGGGGACCGGCUGCGGCCGGGGCCCAGGCGUCUCCGCACUCGGGCCGCCGCCGGGGUCGGGCUUCCGGUUGUGGGGCGGCGAGGCUGUAGGGAGAGAAGAGGAGAGGCCGGGGAGGCCGUCAGGGAAUGUUGUGAAUGCCCUGAAGCCCACACCCUGAAAUGUAGAGGCAGAGAGCUGACUGGAAGGCUCCUAGAGGCUCCCAGGGUGGCACCAGCCUGGAAGAACUUGCCAGGGUCCAAGGCUGCAUCUUGGGCAGCACAUGGCUUGCAGGAGCAGAAGCCAUAUUCAUGGUGGAAAGCACAGAGAGCUCGAAGAGACUGAACUAUGUAAGUCAGAAUGCCACUUUAUUAAUUUACAACAAGAAAUCGACUCAGGCACACCUGCAGGCUCGUGUCAGCCUGGCUAGCGUUCUCUUUCUAAAAACAAGUCACCUGGGAAGCCAAAUUACCAUCAGAGUGCUUGGUAAUAUAAGCCAGAGCACAGGGAAUUCGUCCUACAAUUGGAAUGUUUAAAGGUAUUUGUUUCUCAUAACCUAAUAUGUCCACCUUUACAUGCCUAUCUUCCACAUGUCAGGUGGAAGAACCUAAGAGCCUAAUUGCCUUCCUCUCCCCUGCCAAUUUCUGGCAUUUUGAGUGUAUCUUUCUGCUUUACAAAUAAUUGUUGAGCAUCUACUCUGUGUUGUAUAGUAAAGGAUUUGUGCCAGGUUCCUGGCAUGGAGCUUCUAACUCUUGGAAUCUCCCAAGUGAUGGAAGCGUCUUAAUGAUUCACGAGCUUCCUGGAUCACACCUGAGUUUAUGCUAAUGCAGUGACUCUUGGAGGGCCCCUUGAUAGCUUAGGGCUGGGAGCUGGUCAUCAGAAAGACCAACCAUGUAAUUAGAGGGUUGGGACUUUGAGCCUGUCUGACCUCCAGGGGGCGGAGAGAGGCUGGAGAUUGGGUUCAAUCAGAUGGUCAAUGAUUUAAUCCAUCAUGCCUGCUUAAUGAAACCCAUUGACAGCUUCCUGGUCCGUGGAGCUUCCUGGUCAGUGACCACACUGAUGUGCUAGAAGGGUGAUGCACUGUGAUCCAUGGAGAGAAAACCCUGAAGCAUCUGGGACCCUCCCAGAUCUUGCCCCAUGUGUCUCCUCAUUUGGCUGGGUCUGAUUUGUUCCUUUAUAAUAAAACUUUGAUCGUAAGUAGAGCACUUUCCUGAGUUUUGUGAGUUGUUGUAGAGAAUUAUCAAGCCUGAGAGGGAUCUUGAGAACCCCCUAGAUUUAUACCCAGCUGUCUGAAAUGAGGGCAGUCUUGUUCUGGGUCAUCUGCCCUUUAACUAGUGAGGCCUGCGCUAACUCUGGAUGGUUACUGUCAGAAUUGAAUUGCAGCCCACCACUUGGUAUCAAAACACUAUGUGCCCCGGGAAUUCCCUGGCGGUCCAGUGGUUAGGACUUGGUGCUUUCACUGCCAGAGCCCAGGUUCAAUCCCUAGCUGGGGAACUAAGAUCCCACAAGCUGCGCAGCACGGCCAAGGAAACACAAAAACAAAGAAACGCCAUGUGCCAGGCGUUUUAGAAGCUGGAAAUACCCGUCGUCAUCAUCUUUCUUCAAAAAGAGUACAAUACUGUUGCUCUGGUUCCCAUUAGGUAAAUUAGGGUCAUGUUCUAGUUCGAGUUCAGGACCAUCCUGAUUGGGGCCGAGGUCUCCCCAGAUUCUUCAGGCUUUCACAGAUAGCUGCUAGGUUUACUCCUACAGGCACCAGGCUAGGUCCUGGAAUACUGGGACAUAAAUCCUCCCCUCAAGUGGCUGACAGACUGCUGUGGGGAAUAACGUUCCAUUAUAGUGUUAAGUGCAAUAUUAAAAGGCUACAGGAGACAUCACAUAAACUCUGGUUUGAAGAAUGACUGGGACGCACCAGAUAGACCAAGGAGGGCAGGCAUUGCAGGCUGAGACAACAGCACAUGCAAUGGCACCAGGGUACAAGAGAGCAUGUGCAUCUACCCAGGCCCGGGAAGCAUGACGGCACACUAGGGAAGGAGCCCCAAUGGGGGAAGAUGCUGAGAGCCUCGAUGCCCUAUAGAUGGACCAUGGCUUCCAUGAUGAUUUUUAAUGACUGAAUUCCUAGACUAUUACAUUGCUGAGUCAAAAGAUCGUUUCCUCUGGGGGAAGCCAGCUGCCGUGUUGGGAGAACCCUCAGGCAGUCUGUGAGAGGCCCACAGCAAGGAAGCAACUGAAGUCUUCAUCCAACAGUCAGUGAGAAGCUGAGGUCUACCAACAGCUAGUAAGUGAGCCUGAAGGCAGAUCCUCUCCCAGUUGAGCCUCCAGAUAAGACUGCAGCCCCAGUGCAGAGCUUGACUGAAACCUCCCCCUGAGACACCUGAACCACCCGGUAAACCUCUCCCAGAUUCCUGGCCCAGAGAAAGUGUGAGUAAUAAUGUUCAUUGUUUUAAGCUGCUAAAUUUUGGGGUAAUUCGUUUUGUGGCAAUAAAUAACUAACACACAGUUGAAGACCCCUUAGGCUCCUCCCUCAUCCAAUUUCUUUUCCUUCCCAGAGGUAAUCAUUAUGCUGAACUUGGGGUCUCUACCAUUCUCCUGGAUGUUUUUCCUACUAUGAUUUUGUCAACUAUGGUAAAAAGAUAUCUUAUAAAUUAAUGUUGAGGGGUUUAAAAAUUAUAAUUACAAAUUUUGGAAUGUUCCAUAUAAAUAUGCAAUUGUAGUUCAAUAAAUCAUCUCUGAAAUGAAUAAUAA